UGGAAUAAAAUAUAAUGCUAUUAAUAAUAUUAACAAUAACAGCAAUGAAUACAUAGAACCAUGAUAAUAGAACAAACAUAAUGCAAGUAAAGUAAUACAUUUCACAGACGCUCACACUCGACUAACGCUUGACAAACAAUCUAACUUACACAAAAAUACACAAAAUACCCUCUCACUACGGAUCUGGUUUCUCAUUCCUUUCUACUCCGCACUACAAUAGUCACACUCCAGCAUAUCUUAAAAAGGCCCAUGUCUAUCAUUUUAACAUAUACAAGAUGUCACAUUUUAUACUCUAUGCUCAGCACACCAUCUCCAUGCAGACGGCAACACUGUAGGACAGUUGCUAUUAAUAAUGUCAUGAAUUUGCUUUCUGUUUACUGUAAUAUCAAGUCCCCUAAAAUCACACAGUGGUUUUACCACCUUUGCGUCUUUUCAUCGGAUAUACAGGUCAUUCUCA
rnacentral:lncRNA from 1 species